UUCCCUUCAAGGAUUGUUCCCUGAGCCGCAUCAAAUCCCCAACCCCCUUUCAUCUUCCUUUUGCUUCUUCAGCUCUUUAGCUGUGAACCAGUUUUUUUCUUCCCCUUCCAGAUAAUUAUUUACACAGAAGGAGAAUAAUUAGCAGCCCAGGAAACACUUCUUUGUUCUCAGCUCUCUGCCCCUGCCUGCCUCUCUUGUCUGAAGUGGUGCCGCUUGGAAGAGGGACAUCAAAGCUGCUGGGGAGGCUCUGCACGGAGAGGGAUUUUCUUUGUCUGAGUGAGAAGCAGAGAAAUACGACUGUGGCUUGUCCAUCUCUGCCCCCAAGUGCUGCCAUUCCUCUGAGCCUGGGGAAACCUAGUGACCUCGGAGAGAAUCAAAUUUUAAAUCUCCAAACAAACAAACACACAGAUGGGGUAGAGAGGGCCAAGAUUCAAAUGCCAAGAAGACCAAGGCCAAACCAUCAGAGGAAGGAGUAAAGGUGGUGUUGACCGGAGCACAAGGCUGGAGCUGGCAGACAUGUGUGGAGAGCAUUAGCAAUUUGGGACUGAGCGAAGAACAUCAUUUCCUGGAUGAUGGGGGCAUAGAGCACAGGUGGGCUGGGGUGGCCAGGAAAGCCAGAAGCUGGGAACUCUAAGAGAGCCACCGAUUUGGGGGCCCAUCUCACUGUGGGCAAGAGAGCAAUACUGGAGGAUGGAGAUGAGCGGUCAUCUCAUGAGGGGAGAGAAGCCCAGGGUCCUUGCAAGGACUCCUUGGCUGAUGGAGCAUCUGCUCCCAACACAUGGCAGAACAGAGCCCCUGAGGAAUUCAGAGCCAAAGUCUAACAGCUCAAUCAAGGUACAAAAUCUAAUGCCGACUCUAAUAGGAUUUUUAGGCUCUGGUCUGUGACUCAGGUCAGGACUUGUACCUUUCAGGAUCCAACAGAUAAAACAGAAGCAACUGUGUGGAUGAAGAAUAGGGAAUCUGGUACAGGGAUCUGGUUAUACAAAUGAUGCAAGGGGUGGACCUGAGUGGGCCCCAGUAAGAGAGCCCAGAGAAGAAUAUGGCAGUAAGCCCCCACCCCUUCUUGGUCAGAGGUAAAAGAGAGGAAGACAGUAUUACCCAGAGUCUGAGAUCCCUAAGCAGAAGCUGGCAUCACAGUGGGUGAGUCCAGCAGAAUCUGGAUCUAUAGUAGCUCCUAGAGAUGCUGACCAGACUGUAUGUGUGCAUGAUUAACUCUCUCCAGUCUCCUUCCAGUACCAGCCAUUGCUGGACCCAGACAGAAGCCUCAAAUGCACCAAGAAGAGACAACUCUUUUGGCAAUUCCCUGAGCAGAAAAAAAGGAGAGAGAGGUGCUGGACCAGCACAGAAACCCAGCUUCAAAUGACAAGACGAUGUGGUUUCCCAGAGGUUCCACUAGAUCAGGGAUCAGAAAACUUUUCCUUUAAAGGACCAUAUAGUAGAUAUUUUUGGUUCCGCAGGCCAUUCAGUCUCUGUUACAAUGACUCAACUUUGCUGUUGUUUUGUGAAGCAGUCACAGACUGUAUAUAAACAAAUUUGCUAUCUUCUAAUAAAACCUUAUUUACACAAAUAACAAUAGGCCAGACUUCGCCUGCUAGAAUGUAGGAACUCAGUGAUGUAUGAAAGACAGUUGUUCUCCUUGCACUUGACACCAAGGAGGUGAAUUUUUUGCUUCUCUCUAUAGGAACAGUAUCCUGGGCUGCACAGAUCUCAAAGCUCAUAAAAAAAAUACAUUAAAAAUUGUUUCAUGCUUAAAAUUGUUUCUCCCAGGAUUCUGAUGUGCAAAAUCUUUCCUAGGCCGUCACAACAAUCUACUACAUUGUCACCACAUAUAUGUCUUUAAGAUGCGUCAACAUGUUGCAACCUGGCCCACACAGGCCAUCUCCAACCUUCUCUAGGACAACAUGUAAUUUCUUCUUCCAAGAGCCCCAGGCACAAGGGACGCUUGAACAGCAGGGGGUUGAUUUUGAAUUGUACAUAACGAAC
rnacentral:lncRNA from 9 species